rnacentral:misc_RNA from 1 species
CGACCCUCAAGCCCCUAGCGGCUUGGUGUUGGGGUGCUUUCUACGGCUCUCAGCCGUAGGCCCCGAAAUCCAGUGGCGGGCCUGACGGGACCCCGAGCGCAGUAAUUUUCUCUCGCUUUGGGCGUCGCGGCGGGCGACUAGCCGUAAAACCCACAGGUGCCCUCGCGGCCCUGUAAUACACCAA